UUAAGUUCAGCGGGUAGUCCUGCCUGAUUUGAGGUCAAAUUGUAGAUAGAUAGAGACGAUCGUCUCGUCUGGGCCGGGCUGGCACGGGUUAGAAGCAGGUAAGACAUUAUCAUACCGACGACUAGGUUCGUGAAUCGCAGCCGUAAGGCCAAUCCAUUUCAGAGAAGCAAAGCAAAGGGAGUCAAAAAGUCCAAGUCCAA
rnacentral:misc_RNA from 1 species